rnacentral:misc_RNA from 1 species
AAAGUCGUAACAAGGUAACCGUAGGUGAACCUGCGGUUGGAUCAUUAUAAAUUGUGUUAUUCUCUUGGAGAAUAGUUUAGCCUUAUCCCUAUAACUGUUGCUUUUGAAGCUUGUACGGGUCUUGUUGGAUUGUUUCGUAUCUCUUUGGAGUUUAUUGAACAUCCCAAUUCGAUUAAGGGGAGGUUAAACAAACUACACAUUGUGCACUGUAUUUGUUAUUCCAGCCAGGAAAGAUUGGGUGAUUCCAUCUAGGUCGGCUGGAAAAGUAUUUCAACCCAUUUAAAUUUGACUGAAUUUUGUUAUUAUAAUGAUAAACAACUUUUGACAACGGAUCUCUUGGCUCUC